rnacentral:rRNA from 1 species
GACGAACGCUGGCGGCGUGCUUAACACAUGCAAGUCGAACGGUGAAAGCGGAGCUUGCUCCGCUGGAUCAGUGGCGAACGGGUGAGUAACACGUGGGCAACCUGCCCCUCACUUCGGGAUAACUCCGGGAAACCGGGGCUAAUACCGGAUAUGACCUCCUUGGGCAUCCUUGGAGGUGGAAAGUUUUUCGGUGAGGGAUGGGCCCGCGGCCUAUCAGCUUGUUGUGGAGGUAGUGGCUAACCAAGGCGACGACGGGUAGCCGGCCUGAGAGGGCGACCGGCCACACUGUGACUGAGACACGGCCCAGACUCCUACGGGAGGCAGCAGUGGGGAAUAUUUCGCAAUGGGCGAAAGCCUGACGCAGCAACGCCGCGUGCGGGAUGACGGCCUUCGGGUUGUAAACCGCUUUCAGCAGGGAAGAAGCCGCAAGGUGACGGUACCUGCAGAAGAAGCACCGGCUAACUACGUGCCAGCCGCCGCAGUAA